rnacentral:sRNA from 1 species
GUCUCCCGAAUCCCAGUCUCCUUCUGCCGCCUGAGGCACCUGCAGGUCAUUCUGCUGGACAGCAACCCUCUGCAGAGUCCACCUGCCCAGGUCUGCCUGAAGGGGAAACUUCACAUCUUCAAGUACUUGUCCACAGAGGCCGGGCAGCGUGGGUCGGCCCUGGGGGACCUGGCCCCUUCUCGGCCCCCGAGUUUCAGUCCCUGGUAAGUCCUAGGUGGGGAGGAAGGAAGCCCUGGGAUACUGAAUGCCCCUUCCCGGCCCCAGGUACCCCCUGCUUUCUGGCAGGAGGAUGGGGGGCUGUUGUCCAGCAUCAGGCUGACCAGAUCCGCUUGGCUGGCCCCAGCCCUGCAGAGGAUCUAUUUCCGGGACAUCGGUACGAUGGCGGGCUGGACUCAGGCUUCCACAGUGUUGAUAGUGGCAGCAAGAGGUGGUCUGGAAAUGAGGUAAGGGCGUCCUGUCCAUGGGAGAUUGAGGGUGUCAGCCCUGGGAGAGCACCUCUGAGCUGGGGACCUCCAAAUUGCAGGGUGCCAGGCAGAGGCUGGAGCUGUCCUCUUCCUUCCCUCUGCCCAGCAUCCCAGGGAAGGGCUGGCUCAGCAGAGACCCUGAGCUUAGUCCCACGCAGGACCCCCCAGGUCCCGAGCCCCCACGUGCAGAGAGGCCAUCUCCUAUCUCUGCCUCUGCCUUUACAGUCAACAGAUGAAUUUUCGGAGCUCUCAUUCCGGAUCUCAGAGCUGGCCCGGGAGCCCCGGGGGCCCA